AGAGUUUGAUCCUGGCUCAGGAUGAACGCUAGCGACAGGCUUAACACAUGCAAGUCGAGGGGCAGCAAUUUGUAGCAAUACAAAGUUGGCGACCGGCGCACGGGUGAGUAACGCGUAUGCAACCUACCCACAACAGAAGAAUAAUCCGGCGAAAGUCGGUCUAAUACUUCAUAAAACAGGGACACCGCAUGGUGUUAUUUGUUAAAGAUUUAUCGGUUGUGGAUGGGCAUGCGUACCAUUAGGUAGUUGGUGAGGUAACGGCCCACCAAGCCUACGAUGGUUAGGGGUUCUGAGAGGAAAGUCCCCCACACUGGUACUGAGACACGGACCAGACUCCUACGGGAGGCAGCAGUGAGGAAUAUUGGUCAAUGGGCGAGAGCCUGAACCAGCCAAGUCGCGUGAAGGAUGACGGCCCUAUGGGUUGUAAACUUCUUUUGCAGGGGAAUAAAGAUAUUCACGUGUGGGUAGUUGUAUGUACCCUGCGAAUAAGCAUCGGCUAACUCCGUGCCAGCAGCCGCGGUAAUACGGAGGAUGCGAGCGUUAUCCGGAUUUAUUGGGUUUAAAGGGUGCGUAGGUGGGCUAUUAAGUCAGUGGUGAAAGUUUGUCGCUCAACGAUAAAAUUGCCGUUGAAACUGGUGGUCUUGAGUAUGGAUGAAGUAGGCGGAAUGCGUGGUGUAGCGGUGAAAUGCAUAGAGAUCACGCAGAACUCCGAUUGCGAAGGCAGCUUACUAAGGCAUAACUGACACUGAAGCACGAAAGCGUGGGUAUCAAACAGGAUUAGAUACCCUGGUAGUCCACGCAGUAAACGAUGAUUACUAGGAGUUUGCGAUAUAGUGUAAGCUCUACAGCGAAAGCGUUAAGUAAUCCACCUGGGGAGUACGCCGGCAACGGUGAAACUCAAAGGAAUUGACGGGGGCCCGCACAAGCGGAGGAACAUGUGGUUUAAUUCGAUGAUACGCGAGGAACCUUACCCGGGAUUGAAAUGUACCUGACGAACUGCGAGAGUGGUUUUCCAGCAAUGGCAGGUAUGUAGGUGCUGCAUGGUUGUCGUCAGCUCGUGCCGUGAGGUGUCGGCUUAAGUGCCAUAACGAGCGCAACCCCUGUCUACGGUUGCCAUCAGGUGAUGCUGGGAACUCCGUAGAGACUGCCGUCGUAAGGCGUGAGGAAGGUGGGGAUGACGUCAAAUCAGCACGGCCCUUACAUCCGGGGCGACACACGUGUUACAA
rnacentral:rRNA from 1 species